ensembl:snoRNA SNORD53 small nucleolar RNA SNORD53/SNORD92
AUGCUGUGAUGACUUUGAUCUUGGUUUCGCUUUUUGCUGAAUUCCAAUGACGACACAUUUCUCUUGGCUGUCUGAGCAU